GGAUCGCAGUCUGCAACUCGACUGCGUGAAGUCGGAAUCGCUAGUAAUCGUGAAUCAGAAUGUCACGGUGAAUACGUUCCCGGGCCUUGUACACACCGCCCGUCACACCAUGGGAGUGGGUUGCUCCAGAAGUAGCUAGUCUAACCGCAAGGGGGACGGUUACCACGGAGUGAUUCAUGACUGGGGUGAAGUCGUAACAAGGUAGCCGUAGGGGAACCUGCGGCUGGAUCACCUCCUUA
rnacentral:rRNA from 1 species